ACUCCUACGGGAGGCAGCAGUGGGGAAUAUUGCACAAUGGGGGAAACCCUGAUGCAGCCAUGCCGCGUGUGUGAAGAAGGCCUUCGGUUGUAAAGCACUUUCAGUAGGGAGGAAGGUAGUGUAGUUAACACCUGCAUUAUUUGACGUUACCUACAGAAGAAGCACCGGCUAACUCCGUGCCAGCAGCCGCGGUAAUACGGAGGGGUGCGAGCGUUAAUCGGAAUUACUGGGCGUAAAGCGCAUGCAGGCGGCCUGUUAAGUCAGAUGUGAAAGCCCGGGGGCUUAACCUCGGAAUUGCAUUUGAAACUGGCAGGCUAGAGUCUUGUAGAGGGGGUAGAAUUUCAGGUGUAGCGGUGAAAUGCGUAGAGAUCUGAAGGAAUACCGGUGGCGAAGGCGGCCCCUGGACAGAUACUGACACUCAGAUGCGAAAGCGUGGGGAGCAAACAGGAUUAGAUACCCUGGUAGACUGUCA
rnacentral:rRNA from 1 species